rnacentral:rRNA from 1 species
UACGUAGGGGGCAAGCGUUGUCCGGAAUCAUUGGGCGUAAAGCGCGCGUAGGCGGCUCGGUAAGUCCGCUCUGAAAGACCGGGGCUCAACCCCGCGUCAGCCAUGGAUACUGGGCGGCUGGAGACAGGUAGAGGCAAGCGGAAUUCCGGGUGUAGCGGUGGAAUGCGUAGAUAUCCGGAAGAACACCGGAGGCGAAGGCGGCUUGCUGGACCUGGUCUGACGCUGAGGCGCGAAAGCGUGGGGAGCGAACAGG